rnacentral:RNase_P_RNA from 1 species
CACGUUGACCGGGUGACCGCCGCCCCGAUUCAUCGGGGGGGAGGAAAGUCCGGGCUCCACCGGACAGGGUGCUGGGUAACGCCCAGGCCCCGAUGACUGGACUUCCAGAAUCGGGGACGGAAAGUGGCACAGAAACAUACCGUCCGCCUCAGGCGGAUAAGGGUGAAAUCGGACGGUAAGAGCGUCCGGUCGUCUGCGGUGACGCAGCGACGGCCAAACCCCACCUGGAGCAAGGCCGAAUAGGGGGACCAUGGGUGUCCGGCCCGUCCCCGGGUUGGCCGCUUGACCCCGAUGGCAACAUCGUCUCCUCCCGGCAUUGUCGGAACUGGGGAACCCUGCGGCCUAGGCCAAAGGGUGGGCUAGAUAGAUGGUCACCAUCCGCCUCAGGCGGAUACAGAACCCGGCUUACAGGUCCGCGUGGCUC